UACGUAGGCAGCGAGCGUUGUUCGGAGUUACUGGGCGUAAAGCGUGCGUAGCGGUGCCAUAAGUCUGUUGUGAAAUCUCCCGGCUUAACUGGGAGGGUGCGGUGGAAACUGUGGUGCUGGAGUGUGGGAGAGGUAGGCGGAAUUCCUGGUGUAGCGGUGGAAUGCGUAGAGAUCCGGAAGAACACCGGUGGCGAAGGCGGCCUGCUGGGCAGUUUGGCUGACACUGAGGCGCGACAGCGUGGGGAGCAAACAGG
rnacentral:rRNA from 1 species